CCUCAAAGGAAAUAAAUUAAGCGGCAGCACGCGAGGACAAAUGGGUGACAUUGUGUUCUUGCUGACAUCUUGUGUGCAGCUGUGAACAGCUGUGUCAGUGCCAGUUCAGCUGCAAUAGCGUUGGCAGGAGGGAGAUGAAGGGCGAUUCAUUCACAGGGCGCCCUUCACAGGGUCGCACAGGUGUGUCCCAAGGAUUGAUUUUCUGCUCUCUCUCUCCUAAAACUGACACAGAGGCGAGGGGACCGGGUAAUAGGAUGCUCUUGAAAUUACAGAGCUUCUGUGCCCGAGGAGCAACGAUUCUGGAACAUGGGCACUUGGCGUUCGCAGACAAAUAGGAAAUACAGAAAAGCACUCCUCACUUGACCAAGAGGAUCAACAUCUGACCCCCUCCAGGGAGGGAGUCUCUGCCCAGGUGUUCACUCCUCAGGAAUGAGCCUCCGUUUCCUCCCUUCUUUGGCAGGGGCAGGCACCAAGUGUGCCCAAGGGAGAGCCUCGUGCAGAGAGAUCAACUUUAUCACACUCAUUUGCCCUUUUACUGCUCUGGCUGCUGACCAUAAGCGGUCACUCAUUUCGUGGACAAUAAUGGGCUCAGCUACUCACCGUUGCUACAGGGGACAAAAUGAAAUGAAUGGAGGGCAUCUAAUAAACACAGCUGGAAAUGGCAUGUGGAUGCUGGUCUCGUUUUUUUUUUUUUUGUAUUGGGUAUUGAACCCAGGGGCGCUAACCACUGAACUACAUUCCAACCCCGCUGCCUCCUUUUUUUUUUAAUUUAGAGACAGGGUCUCCCUGAGUUGCAUAGGGCCUCGCUAAGUUGCUGAGACUGGCUUUGAACUCAGGAUCCUCCUGCCUCAGCCUCCUGAGCUGUUGGGAUGACAGGCGGGCAUCAUGGUGCCUGGUUUCCCUGUGCAGAUGGAAGACACAGGAAAGCUGUUCAAUAAAGCCAGGCCUGCCCACCCAGGGGCUCCCAGAGAGUCACAGGUCACAGUGAAAGCAGCAUGCGUAGUGCAACCAGAAACUCCCUCGUGGCUGCGGGAAGGCAGAGGAGCCCUGAGCCCAGAUGGGGAGUCUUUCUGGUUGGAGGUGAUGAUACCUGAGCUGAAAUCUUACAGGAUGAGUAAAAGUGAGUCGGAAAAUGGCCCAAGGCCAGGAUGGGCAUCCCUGGAGGAGCAAAGCCUCAGAGAAACGAUGCACUAAUUCCCAGCUUCUCUCAGGAGAAGGGCGAAUGGAUACAAAGUGGCAAGAGUGAUACUCAAUUAUUGAAAAUAAUUAAUAAUGAUUAUUAUUGCAUUGGGAUAAUUUUAAUAAAUAUCACAUUUUUAAUAACUGACAUCAGUUGGAUGCAAUGAAUCAUUUCAAAUGUUAGUGGCAUAAAAUGAUACUUUACUGAGGCUGGGGAUGUGGCUCAAGCGGUAGCGUGCUCGCCUGGCAUGUGUGGGGUGCUGGGUUCGAUCCUCAGCACCACAAACAAAGAUGUU
rnacentral:lncRNA from 1 species